UGCAGUCGAGGGGCAGCACGGGAGCAAUCCUGGUGGCGACCGGCAAACGGGUGCGGAACACGUACGCAACCUUCCCAUAACUGGUGAAUAGCCUUUCGAAAGAGAGAUUAAUACACCGUAACAUAACGAAGAGGCAUCUCUUUGUUAUUAUAGUAGCAAUACGGUUUUGGAUGGGCGUGCGCCUGAUUAGCUAGUUGGCAGUGUAAUGGACUACCAAGGCGACGAUCAGUAGCUGGUCUGAGAGGACGAUCAGCCACACUGGGACUGAGACACGGCCCAGACUCCUACGGGAGGCAGCAGUGGGGAAUUUUCCGCAAUGGGCGAAAGCCUGACGGAGCAAUACCGCGUGAGGGAGGAAGGCUCUUGGGUCGUAAACCUCUUUUCUCAGGGAAGAACACAAUGACGGUACCUGAGGAAUAAGCAUCGGCUAACUCCGUGCCAGCAGCCGCGGUAAUACGGAGGAUGCAAGCGUUAUCCGGAAUGAUUGGGCGUAAAGCGUCCGCAGGUGGCGAAGUAAGUCUGCUGUUAAAGCGUCUAGCUCAACUAGAUAAGAGCAGUGGAAACUACUUACGCUAGAGUGCGUUCGGGGCAGAGGGAAUUCCUGGUGUAGCGGUGAAAUGCGUAGAGAUCAGGAAGAACACCAGUGGCGAAGGCGCUCUGCUAGGCCGCAACUGACACUGAGGGACGAAAGCUAGGGGAGCGAAUGGGAUUAGAUACCCCAGUAGUCCUAGCCGUAAACGAUGGAUACUAGGCGUGGCUUGUAUCGACCCGAGCCGUGCCGUAGCUAACGCGUUAAGUAUCCCGCCUGGGGAGUACGCCGGCAACGGUGAAACUCAAAGGAAUUGACGGGGGCCCGCACAAGCGGUGGAGUAUGUGGUUUAAUUCGAUGCAACGCGAAGAACCUUACCAAGGCUUGACAUGUCGCGAAUCUUCUUGAAAGGGGAGAGUGCCUUCGGGAAGCGCGAACCAGGUGGUGCAUGGCUGUCGUCAGC
rnacentral:rRNA from 1 species